AUUGAACGCUGGCGGAAUGCUUUACACAUGCAAGUCGAACGGCAGCACGGACUUCGGUCUGGUGGCGAGUGGCGAACGGGUGAGUAAUGUAUCGGAACGUGCCCAGUCGUGGUGGAUAACGUAGUGAAAAUUACGCUAAUACCGCAUACGAUCUAUGGAUGUAAGCGGGGGAUCGCAAGACCUCGCGCGAUUGGAGCGGCCGAUAUCAGAUUAGGUAGUUGGUGGGGUAAAGGCCCACCAAGCCAACGAUCUGUAGCUGGUCUGAGAGGACGACCAGCCACACUGGAACUGAGACACGGUCCAGACUCCUACGGGAGGCAGCAGUGGGGAAUUUUGGACAAUGGGCGAAAGCCUGAUCCAGCCAUUCCGCGUGCAGGAUGAAGGCCCUCGGGUUGUAAACUGCUUUUGUACAGAACGAAAAGGUUUCUACUAAUACUAGGAGCUCAUGACGGUACUGUAAGAAUAAGCACCGGCUAACUACGUGCCAGCCGCCGCAGUAA
rnacentral:rRNA from 1 species